rnacentral:rRNA from 1 species
CGGGACGGGUGAGUAACGCGUGGGUAACCUGCCUCACACAGGGGAGUAACAGUUGGAAACGGCUGCUAAUACCGCAUAAGCGCACAGUACCGCAUGGUACGGUGUGAAAAACUCCGGUGGUGUGAGAUGGACCCGCGUCUGAUUAGCUAGUUGGCAGGGCAGCGGCCUACCAAGGCGACGAUCAGUAGCCGACCUGAGAGGGUGACCGGCCACAUUGGGACUGAGACACGGCCCAA